AUAGCCAACAGACAGCAAACUAUACCUACGGUCACCAACCUGACUGCCAGUCCUAGCCACUGACAAUGCAAAUACAAUGAGACCAAUAUGCAAUGAAUUUAAAAUUGUUUCAUAAAGCAAUGAACAAUUGCACAAGCCAGUAAGGAUGUCUCAAACCUAAAAUAUUCAGACAGGCCUGAUAUCAUAUUGCUUUAGGAAGGGCAUGUAGCAACAAAUCACUGGUGAUGGGAAGAAGAGAUAUACACUCCCUAUUUAGAUAUCUAGACACUUCAUAUUUGCAGCCAGAAGUCAACUAGAUGACUUGGUGGAGUCUGAAAUUCCACAACCAUGUAGCUCAUCUGAAGGUUACUACCAAAAUGGUAAGGUGAGAGGAACAAUGGGAAGCAAGAUGGAGAAAAGGAGGAUGGAAGGGGAUAGCACUGUAUUGGUAUAGCUUUCCUUCAUAUCAUGAACCCACCCUUCAAUAUUUGGAAUUAAACAGGAAGCUGAAAACAUCUAUUCCUUAACAGGUUUUAAACAAUAAGAAGACCUGCUGAGCACCUGCUGAAUUCCAAUGAUGCACUUAUUCUGUUCAGACUGAACAAUUCAAACAAGAAGACCACAAACCCUGAAGCAUCCUGCAAAACUGAAAGUCCUGCAUGAGCCAAGUAGUUCUUUUGAGGACAGAGACCUUUUUGUUUUUCCAACUUUAAACUCAAAUUCCAGUGGAUUUGUGAUUUUCUCUAUUCUUUUAACUUUUUUAUAGAAUGGAUUAUGUAAUAUUUCAGUGACAACUAAUGGAAUAUUUAAGAAUGUGGAGUAUGAGAUUUAAUGUAUUAGAUUUAAUGUGAUUCAGUUAAUUUUAUUUUCAUGGAUGUAAUCAAUUAUUUCAUAAAAUAGCCUUGAAAUAUUU